rnacentral:rRNA from 1 species
AACGAACGCUGGCGGCGUGGAUAAGACAUGCAAGUCGAACGCUAAUUACGGAGUAGCAAUAUUUCGUAGUUGGAGUGGCGCAAGGGUGCGUAACACGUGGGUAAUUUGCCGUGAAGCUCGGAAUAACUCGCUGAAAGGCGAGCUAAUACCGGAUGUGAUAUUUGGGAGGCAUCUCCUAAAUCUUAAAGCUGGGGACCGUAAGGCCUGGCACUUCACGAUAAGCCCGCGGCCUAUCAGCUAGUUGGUGAGGUAACGGCUCACCAAGGCUAAGACGGGUAGCUGGUCUGAGAGGACGACCAGUCACACUGGAACUGAGACACGGUCCAGACACCUACGGGUGGCAGCAGUCGAGAAUUUUUCUCAAAUUGGGCGAAAGCCUGAAGGAGCGACGCCGCGUGGGGGAUGAAUGGCUUCGGCCCGUAAACCCCUGUCAUUUGCGAA